rnacentral:rRNA from 1 species
GACGUAGGGCGCGAGCGUUGUCCGGAUUUAUUGGGCGUAAAGAGCUCGUAGGCGGCUUGUCGCGUCGUUCGUGAAAACCCGGGGCUCAACUCCGGGCUUGCGGGCGAUACGGGCAGGCUAGAGUUCGGUAGGGGAGACUGGAAUUCCUGGUGUAGCGGUGAAAUGUGCAGAUAUCAGGAGGAACACCGGUGGCGAAGGCGGGUCUCUGGGCCGAUACUGACGCUGAGGAGCGAAAGCGUGGGGAGCGAACAGG